GACGAACCGAGCGAACGUUAUUCGGAAUCACUGGGCUUAAAGGGCGCGUAGGCGGGCCAUCAAGUCAGGGGUGAAAGCCCCCAGCUCAACUGGGGAAGUGCCUCUGAUACUGGUGGCCUCGAGGGAGGUAGGGCGUGCGGAACUUCCGGUGGAGCGGUGAAAUGCGUAGAUAUCGGAAGGAACACCGGUGGCGAAAGCGGCGCGCUGGACCUCUUCUGACGCUGAGGCGCGAAAGCCAGGGGAGCGAACGGG
rnacentral:rRNA from 1 species